GACGAACGCUGGCGGCGUGCUUAACACAUGCAAGUCGAGCGGAAAGGCCCUUCGGGGUACUCGAGCGGCGAACGGGUGAGUAACACGUGAGUAAUCUGCCUUCAGCUCUGGGAUAGCUCCGGGAAACCGGGAUUAAUACCGGAUAUGACUGCUCUGGACAUCUGGGGUGGUGGAAAGUUUUUCGGCUGGAGAUGAGCUCGCGGCCUAUCAGCUUGUUGGUGGGGUAACGGCCUACCAAGGCGACGACGGGUAGCCGGCCUGAGAGGGCGACCGGCCA
rnacentral:rRNA from 1 species